UACGGAGGGUGCAAGCGUUAAUCGGAAUUACUGGGCGUAAAGCGUGCGUAGGCGGUUCGUUAAGUCUGUUGUGAAAGCCCCGGGCUCAACCUGGGAAUGGCAAUGGAUACUGGCGAGCUAGAGUGUGUCAGAGGAUGGUGGAAUUCCCGGUGUAGCGGUGAAAUACGUAGAUAUCUGGAGGAACACCGGUGGCGAAGGCGGCUACCUGGCCCAACAUUGACACUGAGACCCGAAAGCGUGGGAGUCAAACAGGA
rnacentral:rRNA from 1 species